rnacentral:rRNA from 1 species
GAUGAACGCUGGCGGCGUGCCUAAUACAUGCAAGUCGAGCGAACGGACGAGAAGCUUGCUUCUCUGAUGUUAGCGGCGGACGGGUGAGUAACACGUGGAUAACCUACCUAUAAGACUGGGAUAACUUCGGGAAACCGGAGCUAAUACCGGAUGAUAUUUUGAACCGCAUGGUUCAAAAGUGAAAGACGGUCUUGCUGUCACUUAUAGAUGGAUCCGCGCUGCAUUAGCUAGUUGGUAAGGUAACGGCUUACCAAGGCAACGAUGCAUAGCCGACCUGAGAGGGUGAUCGGCCACACUGGAACUGAGACACGGUCCAGACUCCUACGGGAGGCAGCAGUAGGGAAUCUUCCGCAAUGGGCGAAAGCCUGACGGAGCAACGCCGCGUGAGUGAUGAAGGUCUUCGGAUCGUAAAACUCUGUUAUUAGGGAAGAACAUAUGUGUAAGGAACUGUGCACAUCUUGACGGUACCUAAUCAGAAAGCCACGGCUAACUACGUG